rnacentral:rRNA from 1 species
CCUACGGGAGGCAGCAGUAAGGAAUCUUCCACAAUGGACGAAAGUCUGAUGGAGCAACGCCGCGUGCAGGAUGAAGGCUUUCGGGUCGUAAACUGCUUUUAUAUGGGAAGAUUAUGACGGUACCAUAUGAAUAAGGACCGGCUAACUACGUGCCAGCAGCCGCGGUAAUACGUAGGGUCCAAGCGAUAUCCGGAAUUACUGGGCGUAAAGCGUGUGUAGGUGGAUUAAUAAGUGUGAUGCGAAAUCCGGCGGCUCAACCGUUUGGACUGUGUCGCAUACUGUUAGUCUAGAGGACGGCAGAGGUAAGUGGAAUUACGGGUGUAGCAGUGAAAUGCGUAGAUAUCCGUAGGAACACCAAUGGCGAAGGCAGCUUACUGGGCCACACCUGACACUGAGACACGAAAGCGUGGGGAGCGAACAGGAUUAGAUACCCUGGUAGUCCACGCCGUAAACGAUGCAUACUAUUAGUAGUAGGGUAGUCGUACCCGUCGUGUCUGAGAGACUACGACGAUAAGUAUGCCGCCGUGGGAGGUACGAGCGCGAGUAACGUUAAACGUAACGUUAAAGAAGUAGUUAGGCGUGNGACGNGCCGACGGACGACGACGAGGGAGGAGG